AACGAACGCUGGCGGCAUGCCUAACAAAUGCAAGUCGAACGAGACCUUCGGGCCUAGUGGCGCACGGGUGCGUAACGCGUGGGAACCUGCCCUUAGGUUCGGAAUAAAUCCCCGAAAGGGGUGCUAAUACCGGAUAAUGUCUUCGGACCAAAGAUUUAUCGCCUUUGGAUGGGCCUGCGUUGGAUUAGCUAGUUGGUAGGGUAAAAGCCUACCAAGGCGACGAUCCAUAGCUGGUCUGAGAGGAUGAUCAGCCACACUGGGACUGAGACACGGCCCAGACUCCUACGGGAGGCAGCAGUAGGGAAUAUUGGACAAUGGGCGAAAGCCUGAUCCAGCAAUGCCGCGUGAGUGAUGAAGGCCUUAGGGUUGUAAAGCUCUUUUACCCGGGAUGAUAAUGACAGUACCGGGAGAAUAAGCUCCGGCUAACUCCGUG
rnacentral:rRNA from 1 species